ensembl:lncRNA
GUCCAGCAGCUGCCCCACGUCUGUUUAGCGUGAGAGGUCAAAGGCAUCAGCAGUAAAUAGAAAAUACUUUAAAAUACAACAGGAGUGUUUUUGGGGAAACAGCUGUGGCUGUGAGGGCUUAGCAGUAAACAGCUAAUAGGAAACUGCAUCUACAGUAUUACAUGAACGUCUCAGUGUGCGUUCCUUCACAACGCUCCUCCCUUUUUUUUCUUUUUCUUUUUUGAGCUUUUGCUGCAUUUUGUUAUUUGUUGGUGUUUUCAUAGGUUAGAAUGCGUUUGACCUCUCAGGGCCACCGUAACUAUACCGUACACAGAUAUGGAAACCUCAUGUAGGAAACAUGAGGUUGAACACCAUCACAAAACUUGGAUAUGUUAACAAAAGCCCGCCCGCUCUAAAAAGUAUUUAUUAAAAUCUGACCUUACUAAGCCACACCCCCUUUGGUGAUGUCACAUAAAGUUGUUACAGAAAUGACUUUAAAUGUUAUUGUAGUGAUGUAGUCGACAGGUGAUCGCACAGGCCGCCUGGUUGGAGGAUUGCUUUGACGGCCUGGUGAAGGUUUGCAGACAGAUUACCUGUUUGAGUCCACCUGCACCGAUGAGCGCAACUCACCUGUGAUGGACUUGGUUCAUUCCUAUAUGGUUUUAUGCAUGUGUCAUUUUACAGUUAAUCUCUGAUUUACUACCAUAGGCAACUUUGUCACUGUUUGUGCAACAAUCCCCAUUUGCUUCUGUCUGCAUGUACUGUAGACGGCUGACUUGUUGCUAACUUUACUCCAUCAGUAGCUUUGGGGACAGAAACUGACUGCGAGUGGUUGCAGGUGGUCCCGUCUCUGAAGCAAUCACUUCAAAGCAACGAGAGUUCUGUGAAAUCUUUGCACAAAGUUGCAAUAAGUUUGGUCGUGCCACAUCUAUCACCAUAGCUGGACUGGCCAUUGGGCAUACCGGGCAUUUGCCCGGUGGGCCGCUGGCGAUUUUUUGUUUUUAUGGGCCGAUGGAUUUUUUUUUUUUUAGGAAGGGUAUAUAUAAUGAAAGGUGUUGGAUUGGCCAAUUGGUCAUGAUCGACUCUGGGCUGGACCAAUUACAGCCGAGGAGGCUGAAUGCACCCGCCCCCUUGUUUAGCAAUCACGUGACUUUCGCGCAUUGCAUGUCGGGAACUCGUGGCAAAACAAUCCAAGUACCGCAUCAAAUGCAAGCAUUUGCAGCACCGCAAAACGUUCAUUCUUCGAUUCCAAUAAAUUCUUGUUUUUUCUUUGCCGCACAAAAAAGGAAUGUACAAAACAAAAGGAGAACAAUGCCGGUCCGUACAAAGACAGACUCGACGAAAAGACAAAGAAAAGAUACGAGGAAAAAAUCAAAGGAGUGAAAGGGUCAGACCCUUACGAGCACGCAGACG